rfam:Streptomyces sp. DSM 15324 genomic scaffold PRJNA299231_s005, whole genome shotgun sequence.
CCACGUCCCGACGCACCAUCCCCCCGGCGCCGGGACUUUCCCCGAGCCGGGCUUCGGCGCCUUCCCCCGGGCGCCGGGGCCCGGCUCGCCC